UUAAUAUAGAAUCCGGGUUUGGGAGUCCGAGAUUGCUUUUACCUGGCAGAAUGCGGGGGACCCUUCUCGCUGCCUCCGCCGCGGUUUCCCGGCGCACGUGGAGCGGGUAUUUCGGCGCCCGGGGGCGCUGCGGGUGCGGUCGGUGGUGAGGCUUCAGCCGGAUCCAGGAAGCCUGAGAAAUCUCCGCGAGCUGGUCGAAGGGGAGGCUUUCCGUGCGCGGUGUGUCCUCUGCGCCAGAACCCUGAGUCCUCGCUGCCCGAGACCGCUUCUCCUGGCUCGCGGCAGCCCUCCCUCGAACUCGCCGAGCUGUCGGGCGGGGGUCAUCGGCCUUCGGGCUGUGCACUGGGCCCCUGGCAUCUUCCCGGGAGAACGCGGGGAGGUCUGCGUGCACGCCCGCGCGGUUCACCAGCGCCUCCGAAGCUGCUCCAUCCUUAGCCUCUGUCUCCAGCUUGGAGACCUUUCCAGGCCUGGGCUGGCAUUGCGGCCCCGGACAGAUGGUCUUUCCUCCUGGAUUGGGAAAGCAGCGUCUUUCUUUUGGGGCUCCAGUGCCCCCAACAUGCUGGGACGUACGAUGGACCUGAACCUUACCAGCUUUUCAAAUGGGACUUAACACGUGCUUAUUAUAGGACAGUAGAAAAGGAGGAAAAAAUCCUUAUGGGUCCACGCUCCAAAAUCAACUGCUGUUUGGCAUAGCCCCCAUUGCCUUCUUUUUCUAUCCAUAAAUUAGUUUUUUCCUUUUUUCUGGUUUUAAUUAUACUACAAUGCUUAA